UACGUAGGGGGCAAGCGUUGUCCGGAAUCAUUGGGCGUAAAGAGCGUGUAGGCGGCCAGAAAAGUCCGCUGUGAAAACUCGAGGCUCAACUUCGAGCUGUCGGUGGAAACUUUCUGGCUAGAGUCCGGAAGAGGAGAAUGGAAUUCCUGGUGUAGCGGUGAAAUGCGCAGAUAUCAAGCGGAACACCGGUGGCGAAGGCGGCCUUCUGGACAGUGACUGACGCUGAGACGCGAAAGCGUGGGGAGCAAACAGG
rnacentral:rRNA from 1 species